GUCAAGGUGACCGAGUUGGUUAAGGUGCCAGACUCAAGAGUUUAUCUUACACUUCCAAAGUGUGUGUUCUGGUGGAGCAAUCCGCGCGAGUUCGAAUCUCGUCCUUGACA